AUGGCGGUGGGCCGCGCCCUGGAGGCACAGCUGUGCGUCCCACCGCAUCAGCUGCGAGUCACUGCACACAACCUAGAGGAUUUCUUCGUCGUCUUCACGCAGUCGGCCCACCACGACAACGCGGUCCACCGUGGCACGCUGCGCGUCGACGGUGCCGCCUUCGCCAUCGCGCCUUGGAAGGAGAACGACCAUGCGGGCUACGACACCUUCAACCUCCACGUCCGCUGCGUCAUCGAGCAUCUCCCCCAACAAUACUGGACGCUCGAGGGCGUCGAGGAGGUCUUCGGUGACAAGGUGCGCGUCGAUCGGCUGGAUAGCCGCACCCUAGAGCAUGACCACACCAAAACCUUCGCGUGCUGGGUGUGGGUCUGGGACAUGGCUUUCAUCCCGACACGCCACACCUACUGGAAGCUGCCUCAAGGCGCCGGCCCGGUGGAGGAGAUGGAGGGCUUCUUGCCGCCUGACCGUCGUGUGGCCCCGCCGCCCGGUGUCGAGCGCUAUGAUCUGCUCAUCCAAGUGGACCGGGUGGAGGACUGGUCACCCAGAUAG
rnacentral:rRNA from 1 species